rnacentral:rRNA from 1 species
UACAGAGGGUGCAAGCGUUGUUCGGAAUUAUUGGGCGUAAAGGGCGCGUAGGCGGUGCGGUAAGUCUGUAGUGAAAUCUCUGGGCUCAACUCAGAGUCUGCUGCAGAAACUGCCGUGCUUGAGUGUGGGAGAGGUGAGUGGAAUUCCCGGUGUAGCGGUGAAAUGCGUAGAUAUCUGGAGGAAUACCGGUGGCGAAGGCGGCAUCCUGGACCGGCAUUGACGCUGAUGAGCGAAAGCUAGGGGAGCAAACGGG